rnacentral:rRNA from 1 species
GACGAACCGUGCGAACGUUAUUCGGAAUCACUGGGCUUAAAGCGCGUGUAGGCGGGGCGGUGCGUCGGUCGCUGAAAUCCCCCGGCUCAACCGGGGAAGGGGCGCCGAGACGACCGGCCUGGAGCGACGUAGGGGGGACUGGAACUUCCGGUGGAGCGGUGAAAUGCGUUGAGAUCGGAAGGAACGCCCGUGGCGAAAGCGAGUCCCUGGACGUCGGCUGACGCUGAGACGCGAAAGCCAGGGGAGCGAACAGG